GGAGGGUUCAUGGGGGAGGACGGAGGGCCCACAGGGGGAGGACGGAGGGUUCAUGGGGGAGGACGGAGGGUUCAUGGGGGAGGACGGAGGGUUCAUGGGGGAGGACGGAGGGCCCACAGGGGGAGGACGGAGGGUUCAUGGGGGAGGACGGAGGGCCCACAGGGGGAGGACGGAGGGCCCACAGGGGGAGGACGGAGGGUUCAUGGGGGAGGACGGAGGGUUCAUGGGGGAGGACGGAGGGCCCACAGGGGGAGGACGAAGGGCUCACAGUUAAAUGCACAACUUCGGGGUGCCGGGCCCGGGAGAGAGACACAUGCAAGGAACAGCUUUCCCGUGUUCCGGAAGCCUUCCCGCGUGGUCCCGGGUCAGCGGCAGGAGCAAUGGGAUACCCGCUCCAGGGGCUUCUCCCGCCUGUCACAAACAGCACCCACACCAGGGGACCUUGGGCAGAGCCUCUCCCGCGCAGCCCCCUGACCCGGGAAGUUUCUGCAACCGCCAGAGAGCGGUCUGGGCAGGAUUCCUGGGCUUGCGGGGCAGGAGGGCCCAGAAGACGUCCGGCAGCAAGUCCCGAAGAGCCAUCGUGGGAGCCGCCCACUGCCCGCCCCGGGGACAAGCGGCCGUGUGAGCACAGCAGGGCCGCUCGGGGACUGCCCGGCCCCGAUGACACCCCACACCCCCUUGCAAAGAAAUGCCCUCUUGCUUCCGUAUUUACCUUGCAACAGAGCGGGGGUCUGAGAGGGUCGAAGCCCCGUGAGGGCUGGCGGACGCCGGGGCAGGGGCCGGGGCAGGGUGUCCCCCUGCAGCGGCCGCAACGGACCCUAACAACGGCUCUAUUACCGCCCGCCCGCCCAUCGGCCCGGGCGCCCUCCAAAUUAGCCACAAAGAAGCCCGCCUGUCAAUAUUAAUUCCGCCGCAGAGAUGACUUGUUACGGGAGAACAAAGGUGCUCGGCUUGGGCAGAACAACUUAACUCCUUGUCUCAUAAAAUUUAAGCUGCUAUUGAUCGCCUCCUUCCAUUGUGUGAAGGAUUAAGGAUGUGCGCACACGCAGGCGCGCACACGCAGGCGCGCACACGCACACAGGCGCGCAGACGCCGGCCGGGAGGGGGCUCGCCCGCGCCCCCGUCACUCAGGCGGGCUCGGCCCUCCCCCCCCCGCGCCCCCGGAACCAUUCAGCAACACGAGGCAAAUUAAAUCAAUGGAUUCAUCCUAGCAGAUGGCCACUUUAACACUCAGUUAGCCUUUAGAUAAUUGAGCGUUGACUCCGGAAUCAUAAAAUGGAUGGCUCGUUUGUACAUUUUACUGAAAUAGAUCGCCGAGGUUAAAUAAAUGAAAUCCCAUUUGUCA
rnacentral:lncRNA from 1 species